CCUGCGGCCUCCCCGCGCUCCCCACUUGGCCCCUUCUCCCCGCAGGGCACCUCGGCUUAGGAGAGCCCCCAGGCGCCCGCUCCUGGAACCCCUCACCCACGCCGCACCCGCGUCCCCAUCCCCAGAUCUGUUUGGGCAAAGUUGCUUAUGGUUCUGUCUCCCAGAGAAAGGAGCGUCCCAAAGCCGGGAGGGGCACCUGAGGUGACCCGAGACACCCUGAGCAGAGCGGGUGUGUCCCUCCAGCCACUGGAGACGUCCCCUUUGUUUCCCUGCACCUGGGGGCUUGAAAUGUCGAGGCCACAGUGCUUCGUGUGACCCUGGAGUCGUGCAGACCCCUUCCACCCCCGCCGUGUCCCCCCAACUAGGGCACAGGGAAGCAUCCAGAAAGAAGGGGACCCACAUGUCCUGGAACCCAGACACCUUCCUCCCAGCCCUUAUGGUCACAAGCAGUUAAAUUAGCGCACAUUUAUUGCGGGAAUUUGAAUCUGUCCCUGGCUACGGUCUUUGCCCGUGGGGCCUGGCCUGGGUCUUUCCCAGGACACUGCCAGUCCUCACGUGUCUCAUGUCGCAGGGAACCUGGACAGCAAUGGCUGUGAUCAUUUCACUUCUCCAGCCUGGAAAUCUCCUUUGCACCUAGGCACUCAGCUCCCAGGAGCAGAGGAGGGGGCGGAGGGAUGGAUGAAGGAGUGGUGUAGGGCACACAGAGGUGCAGUUUUCCGUCUGGGGAGCAGGGAAGGGUGUCCCAGAGGAGGUGACAUUCAGACGGGGUCCCUGAGGCUGAGUUGUUUCAGGAGGGAUUGCAUGUGCCUCCUCAGCAAUUGCUCUUGUUCUUGGUAGUACCCUAGUUUUUACUUUAUACUCACUUCUCCCUCUUAGCCACAUACGGGGGUGGGGGGUGGGGGGGAGCUGAUUCCAGAGAGAGGGAGAGAGAGAGUGAGCGAGAAGGAGGGCAUGUGGAUGUGGUUUAGGGCUUAGGCUGAAAUGAAUCAGUGUGUUGCCAUCCCUAGGCCAGAGUUUCAGAAGUGCAGUAUGACAAAGAAAAUAAUUUUCUUGGUCCUCUAAAAGAGUCCCUGAAGCAAAGGAAUUCACUCUGUCUCUUCCUUCCUACCUUCUCCUUGGCUCCCCCAGGCUGGAGCAAGGGAUCUCACAGGCUUGAAUGUUGACUCAGGAUGGAGUGGACAAGGGGAUCGGGCCUGGAUUCAGGCAGACACUGGAUGAGGUGUGCAGGGGCCGAGGCCACAAGGACCUUGUGGAGCGCCAACUUCAGCCAUGCUGUAAGCCGAUCCUGUGAGCACUUUCCAGUUCCAGAUCAGUCCAAGCCACCUUGAGUCAGGAAGCUUGAGCCCUGGAGCAUGAUGAUGGGUAACAGCCAUCUGGUCGGCUGCCACCCACUUCUCUGCCUUGCUGGAGGUCACGCUGUCCCCAGUGCUGCCCAAACCCCACAGGCAUCGGAAAUGACCCAGAGCUUCGUGAAGGCUGCAGAUCCCCCAGCUCAUACUUGGGCACCUCCUGUGCCCCAUGCUCUGCAAGAAGCCUUUGAGGGAGGAGCUAGGGACAGAGCCCAGCAGGUGAUGUUUAUUUGGAGCUUUCCACUUUGGGCUCUUAUGAAUAACCCUGCUAUGAACAUUUGCGUAAGAGUUUUUGUGUGAACAUCUGCUUCCAAUUCUCGUGGGUACGUACAGUAAUGUUUGGCAUGACAACCGAUUGUGUAUAGGAUGGUGAUCCUGUAUACCCCGCACCAUCUAGUUUGUGUAAGUGGCACUGUGACAUUUAUACAAUGAUGAAGUCACCCAGCAACACACUUCUCAGGACCUGUCCUGGUCUCUGAUAUGUGACUGCCUAGGAGUGACACUCCCGAGUCCUAUAAUAAUUUUGUUUGAUGGCUUGAGGAGCUCCUCCAGUUUCCACAGCUGCACCAUUUUACAUUCCCACUAGUAAUAUGUGGCUGCAGUGUGUAGUGUUUUACUUUAUUUUAGAAAUCCCUUUCACACCCGUGACCUCAUUUAAUCCCAGUAGCCCUGCAAGGAAUUAUAUUCAUUUUUUUAGAUAAAGAGAUUGUAUGGGUGAGGAUUCUUUCAGUUGCAAGUGACAGAAACUCAAUGCCAAACGCUGUAGAAGAGCAGAAAUAGAAAUCUCAGAUAACUGGGAAGCACCAAGGUGUCCGACUGCAGACCAAGUGUCUCAAAUGAAUGUUACUGCUUUCUUUCUGUCUUCUCUUAGUUUUGCUUCAUUCUCUUCUCCUUUUCUACAGCAGGCGAGGUUUCUCUGCCUGUCUAGAGAGAUGGCAGGAACCAGCCACAAGCUUAUACUUUACGGAUUCUAAAAGGAGAGAAGUGGCUUCCCUCUUAGAUCCAGCAGAGAAGUCCAGAGCUUUGGUUCGUGUCUCCCCUGCACAAAUCACAGUGUCUGGAGGACUUGGUGUCUCUCUUUCCUACUCCCUGGAUCUUUCUCUUGGCCCUCUCUUCUGUGUUCUGGGAUCCUCCAAAUGCAGCCACUUUCCACAUCAACAUGGGGGCCCCACCUGAGGCCCUGCCUGGCUUCCAGGCUCUUUUUGGAACCACAGCCCCCCCCCCCCAGGUCUGACUCCCUCCCCGUACCAUCCCUUAGUCUGUGCUCAGGAAACACAAAUUCUUUUCUAUUUUUUUAAACAUAAACUUAAGCAAACUUAUAGUUACUGGGAAGCCACAUCUUAUGCCAAAAAAAUGAUACAAUAAAUUCCAAAGCAAAUAAAUAAAGGUAGAGAAGAAAGCCACCAGAUUGCAUUUGUUAUCUGCAGUAUGAAUGACACGCAUGUUGUUCCAAGCCAAGAAUGCAUGAGAUGGAAGGUGAGUGUGCUGGUCACGCACAGAUGGGCUUAGAGGACUUCCCUUGUUUUCUGUCUGUCACACUAACAAAAUGAAUGUGUUUAACCCUAGAGAAUCACGUUUAUCCCAGUAGCUAGCAUGCAUUACCCCGGCUACUCUCUACUUCAAAGUCCAGUCUGGUGAAGCCGGGAAGGUAACCCUGUUCUUCUGGACCCUCUGCUGAGCCCAGUCUUAUUCCCAUUGCUGAGGAUGAGAGACUGAUAUUUCUCAUGCAACCAAGCCCUGCACACAACCUCCACUGAACCCAGGAUGUUACUCUGUGAUCUCCAUUUCUCAAGCCACAAGUAUGUCCAGCAUUCGCAGUAAAGAUAUCAAGGAAGGCAGCCUCCCCACACACAGGCACGCAGGAAGGAGAGGAAAACAGCCCUUGGAAGGAAAAGUGUGUCAAAGGGUUAAAUGCCAAGGAGGCAAGUCCUAGGAUUUUGCAGGAGUGAAGGAGUGAUAAAGAGAUAAGUGGCAAAAUCAUUCCAGGCCAAAUGACAGGGGGCUUUUAACAUCACAGCGAGGAGCAUGGCCUUCAUAGGUCAGGUAACAGGAAGCCUUCAGGGAUUUGGGGUAAGAAGGGUCUUCCAGCCUCCAACUACAAGCCAGGAGCUGCUCUCUGCCUCUGGAGCCUUCUCUGAGGGCUCCGGGUGCUGGAGACAUGGGGGGCAGCCCUGGACCAAUGGCUGAACCCCAGCUGCCACUCCUCUCGGGGGCCACCUCUAGGUGUGUUCUGCCUGGUCUGCCAGCACCCCCAGGGGACACUUCUCACUCCCACCCCUGUACUGGCUGCCUUCCUUAGCUUAUGUCCUAUAGUGUUCCCUUGACAGUGACUCUUGGGAUCACCUCCACCCCCACUGCUUACACAUCCAUCCUUGAAUCAGAGUCUACUCCCAGGGAAACUCAAAUCUAUGGCAGGCGAUUUAGAGAGGUGAAGUCACUUGCCCCAAAUUUCGUAGCUAGCAAGUGGCAGAGUCGGGAAUAUGGGUGCAACGUGGAUAGCACCUCCCAAACCCUCUCACCGCACUUAACCCAGGUUUGCUCCCACCUAGGAAAGCAUCCAUAAAGCAAGAGUGCCGGAAAUUCUGUCACUGGGGAUUCUAGCUCUGAGUUCACUGUGUGAAAAGCAAAACCCCCACCUUGGGAAGCAGAUUAACCUGUGAAACUAGUAUCAGCCAUUCCCACAUGGUACGAGCUUAUUUUUCACAUUCUUCUCUUCCCCAAGGCCCCUGAACAGAGCAGGAACUGUAAGAGGGAGGCAGCAGAGAGAGCAAAAACAAUCUGCAGGUCCUGCCUCUCCAUCCAGCUGCGAGCUGCUCCUAGCCUUCUGCAUGACGUCUUCAGCAGGAAGGGUGUGCAGGGAUUUCUGAACAUCCCGAGUUGCAUAACUGAUCCUAGAAGUAGAAGAGAAAUGAGAGCACAGCCUAAGACAAACCAUAAAAAACGCACAUGACAGCAUGACCUGUAAUGAAACCACUAUCUAAUCGUUGUCUCCAGCCAGAUUUGCAGGUCAACCUCCCUAAACCAGUGGCCAGAAAAAGGACCGCACCUCCCUCUACCUUCCCUUCUGCCACAGGGUGGAGAUGCUGGCCUUGUCCCUUUCAUCAAAUGCCUGCCAGCCUGGGGCAGCCACCAGCGAGCGCCUGCUUGGGGACAGCUCUGCGGUCCGCAAUGUUUCUGCAGAGGGCACUUCCGGCUCUCCCCAGGAGGUCAGCCCAGCCUGCCCCAGCUGCUGCUGCUUAGCCUCAAGCACGGACUGGAAAUAAACAGCUCCCAGGCAAUCUGCAGCUGGGGCAGAGGCUGAGGGUGGUGUUGCAGGGAGGUAUGGGGAAUGGGAAUGUUUUAGUUGAUGUUUGGAUAAGGUGCUUCUGUGACCAUUUUUUUCUCUGCUGAGUGUUAGUGAGAAAAAGAUGGGCACAAGUGUUGGACCUGAGGUUUCCUGAGAACUUCCGCCUAGGGAGACCAAAACUCAGGCACGAUGAGCAGGAUAAUUGCAAGAGACACAGAGAUAACUUGGUCCUUGGUCGUUGUGAAUGGCUGAGGUGCCUGAGGUUGCUCAUGAGGCUGUAGGUAGGAAGUAGAGUGGUUUAAAGUGGGCAUUGGGGUUCUGGCUUAGAACCCCAGCCUCACCCCUCCCCAGCUGGAUGAUUUGCUAUUUAUAAUCAUUUCACCACCACCUAUAAAAUGAAAACAAAACAGCAGGCCCUUAUGGAACACUGUCAGUCUAAGCCAGUGCCAAACACAGUACUAACUAAGGUCUUAGCAUAUGUUAGAACAGUCACUGAGUUGUUGAAGAAAUUGGUGCUAUUAUUAUUGCCAUUUUACAGACAAAACUGAGGCACAUAAGAGAGCAUUGCUGCUGGAGGACUCACUGCUGGUACAUGGUGGGGCCUGGGAUGACCUCAGGCAGUCUGCCCGUAGUGCCCUUGACCACCCUGUCCCUGCGGUUGCUGUGAACAACAGAUGAAAUGCAGCUUAUAAAGGACUUGGCGCCGUGCCUGCCCCAUGGCCAGCUCUCAAUAAAUGUUAGCUUUUAUUAUUAAGAACACACGAAGCAGCACAAAACAGACCAGGCAAGCUACUCACAUAGUUUGAGAUCCUUAACAAUGCCUGGUGUUUGUUUGGCUCUGUGUAGAAUUCAAAGCGCUCUACCAGUGAGGCCUCCUAUAACCUCGCUGCUGCCCCUGAGGGCAGAGGGGCAGUGUGGAAUGCACACAAGAAGGGCAGUUUCUGCAUAAGGUCCUACGCUGGCUCUCUGGUCAUCUAUUCCCAGGGAGUGUGCAGGGACACCUGGGAGCCUGAAUGGCAUGGUGUGUGAGCUGAGAAGAUGCUGAAGAGCCACCAGUAUAUGACCUUUUACCAUGUUAACUCAGAUUCUAUUUACAUAAACAUUUUAUACUCGUCUCUAUAAACUGUGAUACAACAGUUUCUUGAUUCUUUAUUCUUUUUACCUUUUUGUAAUGGAAGUCUAAAGGGAUUACAACAAACGCAGAUUACAAACUCAUAAAAUCACCUUAAAAAGUAAAAAUAGUGGACCAAGUGUUAAAUAAUAGAACCUACUGUUUGAACAGCAGUUUCCAGUUUAUGAAUAAGUAUGAUCUCAUUUCAACCUCAUGACAAUUCAUUACUGGACAUAACUGUGCCGUAAAACUCGAGUUUAGGGGAGCUACUCUAAUAGGGAAUAGUAUGGCUACAACCCAGUCUGCCCUUAAUGAAUUUUGCCUGAGUUUUCUUUUUGGCUACCAAAAGAGUUUGUGUUAGUGUCUCCUAUUGUGACUCAGUAAAAGACUGAAUAUAGAAUGAGUGGUUUCGCUCUUUCUUUUUUCUAUUUCUCUCCUUCCCUCCCCUUCCUUCUCCUUCCCUUCUCCUUCCCUUCCCCAUAUUUGGACUUUUCUGGACUCUGUCCUAUACACCUGUGAUGGUUAAUUUUAGGUGUCAGCUUGUCUGAAGAAAGGGACACCCAGACAGUUCGUAAAGUUUUAUUUCUGGGAGGAAUGGUUGGUUUCAAAUUUCAAGUCUCAUACUUAACAUUUCUGUGACUUUGGCCAAGUUACUGACACCUUGGUGUUUCAGAAUUCUCACCUACCAAGAGAGUAGCUACCUCUUGCGAGUAUUGGGAAGGGUAAAUGAGCAAACACACAUAAAGUGUUCGGAAAGGUACUGGGCACACACUAACUCAGUGCUGUUUGCUUAUAUGAAAUAAAAACAGAAAUUAUCUUCCACAAAGAUUGUAGAAUUAUAGCUGUGCUUAUAGUUCUGUGUAUUUUUGCUUUGUAGAUUUUUGAGGCUAAAUUGUUAGGGGCAUACAAGUUUAGGAUCCACAUACCUUCUUAGUGUCUUGAAUCUUUUAUUUACUUCUUUAGCAAUGCCUUUUGCCUUAAAAUCUACAUUGUGUGAUAUUAACACAGUUUCACUGAUUUGGUUAGUGUUUUUUUUUUGUUUUUUUUUUUUCCAGUAUUGUGGAUCAAACUUAGGACCUUUUGCUUGCCAGGCAGGCUCU